rnacentral:ncRNA from 1 species
GAAAAGGCAACGACGAGACGAGUAGGCGGAUUUAUUUGAUUGCAGAGAGCUCCGGCAGCUGCGAAGGAGCAGAGAAUAACCCGCUGAAGAAAGACUAAGAGCCGCGCAUUGGAAUGACGGAACGGGGAAGCCCGCCGGAAAGGAUAGUGCGACGGGAGCUCCCGUUACAGAGCUAGAGUAUAAGCUGGUAAUUUUGCAGCCGUACUUGAAGAGGCGGAUAUGGCGACAUAUCUGCGAAUCCGGGUGGUACCACGAGCAUACUAAUCUCGUCCCUGAG